rnacentral:rRNA from 1 species
GCUGGGAUAGCUGGUUUUUUACUAUUUAGAUUAAUUUAGUUAUAUACGUCUUGAGGGAUUAGCUUUGAGGCGGUUGAAGUUUACUGCAAGCUGUAGAAUUGUGGCUUGGUCUAAUGGUGGCUUGUGUUUUAGUGUGUUAUAACAAUAGGUUUGGUGUAUUUUGAUUAAAAAUAGUAGCUGUUGGUAGUAAAAUGGUGGUGUUAGUAUAAUUCAUUAUUUAAUAGUGGUUGAAUGAGUAGAAGUUAAAUUUAUUUAGUUAAAAUGAUGUUGAAGUGAGGGGUAAGAUUGGUAUUGGCUGUGUCUUGAGAACUCGGCAAACAUCUUCCCAACUGUUUAUCAAAAACAUUUCUCUUUGUAAUAAAGAGUAUAGCCUGCCCGGUGUAUUAUAAACGGCUGCGGUAUCCUGACCGUACGAAGGUAGCAUAAUAAGUAGUUUUUUAAUUGGGGACUGGAAUGAAUGGUAUAAUGAGGAAGAGACUGUUUAGGCACAUUGGUUGAAUUUGAUUACCAAGUUAAAAGGCUUGGAUGAGGCGGAGUGACAAGAAGACCCUAUGAGUUUAAGAGUUAGAUGGGGCAAGUUAUUAGUAAUUGUGUUGGUUAUGUCCGGUUUAGCUUUUUAACUGGGGCGGUUGAAAUUAACUAUCUUUUUUGGGCAUUACUAGAUUAAUAGAAUUGGGUUCGUUAAAAUAUCCUUGUUGGAAAGCAUAAUAAAUUACCUUAGGGAUAACAGCAUAAUCUUUCUUGAGAGGC